UGGGGAAUAUUGCACAAUGGGCGCAAGCCUGAUGCAGCAACGCCGCGUGAGGGACGACGGCCUUCGGGUUGUAAACCUCUUUUAGUAGGGAAGAAGCGAAAGUGACGGUACCUGCAGAAAAAGCACCGGCUAACUACGUGCCAGCAGCCGCGGUAAUACGUAGGGUGCGAGCGUUGUCCGGAAUUAUUGGGCGUAAAGAGCUCGUAGGCGGUCUGUCGCGUCUGCUGUGAAAACCCGAGGCUCAACCUCGGGCCUGCAGUGGGUACGGGCAGACUAGAGUGCGGUAGGGGAGAAUGGAAUUCCUGGUGUAGCGGUGGAAUGCGCAGAUAUCAGGAGGAACACCGAUGGCGAAGGCAGUUCUCUGGGCCGUAACUGACGCUGAGGAGCGAAAGCGUGGGGAGCGAACAGGAUUAGAUACCCUGGUAGUCCACGCCGUAAACGUUGGGCGCUAGAUGUGGGGACCAUUCCACGGUUUCCGUGUCGCAGCUAACGCAUU
rnacentral:rRNA from 1 species